rnacentral:rRNA from 1 species
AGAACGAACGCUGGCGGCAUGCCUAAUACAUGCAAGUCGAACGAACUCUUCGGAGUUAGUGGCGCACGGGUGCGUAACGCGUGGGAAUCUGCCCCUUGGUUCGGAAUAACAGUUGGAAACGACUGCUAAUACCGGAUGAUGACGAAAGUCCAAAGAUUUAUCGCCAAGGGAUGAGCCCGCGUAGGAUUAGCUAGUUGGUGAGGUAAAGGCUCACCAAGGCAACGAUCCUUAGCUGGUCUGAGAGGAUGAUCAGCCACACUGGGACCGAGACACGGCCCAGACUCCUACGGGAGCAGCAGUAGGGAAUAUUGGACAAUGGGCGAAAGCCUAGAUCCAGCAAAUGCCGCGUGAGUGAUGAAGGCCUUAGGUUGUAAAGCUCUUUACCCGAGAUGAUAAUGACUAGUAUCGGAGAAGUAACGCCCGACUAACUCCG